AGGUUGAAACCGCCGGUGGUGGACCCGUUGACUAGGCGCUCCGUGGCGGUGACGAGGAAUUGAGACCAGAGCGCCAUUAGCGUGAAGUUGUGCUUCGGAAAUUCCCAGAGAAGCGAUUCCAUUUGAUUCCUGGAUAACGAAUCACCGAUGAAAGCCAUUGUCUUGCCUGUAAGAGAUGUAAGAAAAUUAUCGGGGCUGAAACGAGGAAGAUCGCAUUGGUCCGGUUUCCAUCUCCAAUGAAGAAAGUCUGUGUCUUUUCUUCCAUGGAGGAAACAGUUUCUCAUGAAUGGAAUUGUUCUGCAGCUGUAGUUUGUGUACAAAGAGCCUCUUCGGUCUGAAAUCCAUCGCCCCUCGGAUAAUUCGCACGCCUUUUGGCUGUCUGAUUAAAUUGCAGUGAAGAUCGACGGUUGAAUUAUUUAAGAGGAAAAUGAAUUCAAGAAUAGGGGAUUGAAUAAGAAAAAAAGAUACCUUUUCGGGGUUGAAUGAAGGUUGUGGUGUUGUUUGGAUUAAUGUGGUCGCGCACGAUGUUUGCGUAUUCGACGACGUAUGCGUUGUUGUUGUUGUAAAGGAGGUGGAAACAGAAAAGGAUGGCUAUUGUUAUAAAUGUUAAGUAGAAAAAAAGAGAAGUUAUGUUGUGUUUU